AAUACUGUGCAGUGGCAGUAUCGUAGCCAAUUAGUUUUAUCCGAGGCACGAUUAUUGCUAAUUGAAACUUUCUUUCUUUUUGAAUUAGGUGAUUUCUUAACUUGUUCUUCCAUCAAAGAUUCUAGAAGAGUUCACAGAAU